UACAGAGGUCCCGAGCGUUGUUCGGAUUCACUGGGCGUAAAGGGUGCGUAGGUGGUGAGGUAAGUCGGAUGUGAAAGCUCCGAGCUCAACUCGGAAAUGGCAUUGGAAACUACCUUGCUCGAGGGUUUGAGGGGGGACUGGAAUACUUGGUGUAGCAGUGAAAUGCGUAGAUAUCAAGUAGAACACCAGUGGCGAAGGCGAGUCCCCUGGAAAAACUCCUGACACUGAGGC
rnacentral:rRNA from 1 species